AAGCCAAACGAGCGUAAUUUUAUGAGUUGUGAGUCGCGAAAUUUCUGUCGCGUAAUUUCUGCUGCAUUCGGUUUCAUACAAAAAUGCAGUUUUUACCACACGACGACGCAAAAUGAGUUGUCUGCCGACUCACGCGCAUAAACUCGACCGAAUUUCUGUCGGGGCGAGGGAGGGGUGCUGCGGAGAGCGGUCAGCGGGGCCAGUUCGUUACGGGAUGUGUAGGAGUCGACACGUUUCUCGCUCGCAAAAAUGUUCGACACGGAAAAAUUGAUUGUUGAAGUUGAACAACGGCCAUGUCUAUGGAAUUUGUCAGAAAAGUCAUAUAGUGACAAGUUUUUGAAACAGAAAGCAUGGCAAGAGGUUGCUGAGAAUUGUUUUGAAGAAUGGAACAAUUUGAACAACGAAGACAAAGAAAUGAAAAUACAAUUUCUGCUAAAAAAAUGGAAAGCCGUAAGAGAUUACUACAUGCGUGAAAAAAAAAGAAAACGAUGAAAGAAGUGGUAGCGCAGCAAAGAAGAAGAAAGUUUGCCCGUAUUUUGAUUUAUUGCAGUUUCUAAAAGUUACCAAACUGUCAAGGAACUCAUUUUCAAAUGUAACUUCUGAAAACACUGAUAACGAUGACAGUAAUAUAACUGGCAACAAUGACGAUGAAGAUCUUGAUGAACAAUUCAGAUCCACAGAAGCGGACUCACCACUGUAUCAACCGUCUACUAGCCAGCCAGCGUCAAUGCAAACACCUGUGUACCAAAACCAGCCGUCGACGUCAAAGCAGACAGUGUCAUCGCAACCAUCUGUAUCCGGAACCAAAAAUAAAAAACAAACACUGACACUGUUUCAAGAAUCUCUUCUCAAAAAGUUGAAUAAUGAUGAUAAGGAUCCUAAUCGAUAUUUUUUAUUAUCUUUUUUGCCGGAGAUGUCCAAAAUGACAGAGAAACAGAAUUUCGAAUUUCGCAUGGAAGUUAUGAAAGCAUUAAAUAAAGUCAAGUAUCAAAUUCCAGAACAGCACACACAAUCAAACUGGCCUCAUUUUUCAUCACCCUUUUCCGAUUCCCACAGCAACAGCAGUAAUCAAUACUACCCGACACCAGUAAAUAGAGGAUACACAACACAGGCCAAUGAAUAUCACUCCAAUGAAACAAAUGAAUAUGAUGAAACAUAGAACACUGUGCAGCUUGUUUGUUAAUCUUUAUACUUAAGUAAAAUAAUAAUUAAAAUACUUUAAAACUUACUUGAGUGUUAUUAUUAAUCUUUCCUCUGGGCUGAUGGCUAGUCUCAUAUUUGUGUCCGAUUUAGUAAUAAAAGGUUUUAUGUGAUGUAAUAAUUCUUGAAAAACAUGUAAUGGCAUAUGGUAGUAGUUUUUAAACAUAUCUGGAUUUGCACAUACACGUUCAUAUAAUAUAUGGAACUGUCCACAUAUCAGCCUCUCACUAUUGAGUGGGUUUACCCAGCUUCUUUUUCUGGUAUCAUCUUCUGAAUAAGUAUCUUCUGAAUAUGCUUCAUAAAUACACAAUAUUUUCAAUGGAUCCAUCGCACUUGACAACACAAACACCCUGUACCAACGCUCGGUAGUAACUGAAUAAAUUACGUCCGUCUG